CAGUAGCCGCGGGAAUACGAGGGGGGCAAGCGUUGUUCGGAAUUAUUGGGCGUAAAGGGUGCGUAGGCGGUUUGACAAGUCUUAUGUGAAAUCUCUGGGCUCAACCCAGAGUCUGCAUGGGAAACUGUCGGGCUUGAGUAUGGGAGAGGUGAGUGGAAUUUCCGGUGUAGCGGUGAAAUGCGUAGAUAUCGGAAGGAACACCUGUGGCGAAAGCGGCUCACUGGACCAUAACUGACGCUGAUGCACGAAAGCUAGGGGAGCAAACAGGAUUAGAUACCCCAGUAGUCCCUGUCUCUUAUAA
rnacentral:rRNA from 1 species